rnacentral:sRNA from 1 species
AUUUUGAUAUUCAUGAACUACAUAGAGCUCAUGCAAAUGAACAAGUUAGUAUAUUUUGCCUAAUUUGGCUGAGUAUGAGUUUAUCAGCUCUGGUCUCUACCUAGUGGUGUUAUUGCACUUGUGCGAACAAAGCUUUUCUGAUAUGAUGGGAAAUACAAAUGAACCAAGCACACGUGUCCGAUUUAUUAACCUUGCAAGAACUCUUCAGGCACAUAUGGAAGAUCUCGAAACUUCAGAGGAUGAUUCCGAAGAAGAUGGAGACCAUAACAGGACAUUUGAUAUUGCCUAACUUCAUAUAAGACAGAUGGAUGAUCUGUGAACACAAGUGUUUAUUAAAAAUGGCAAUUAAAUAUAAAUUACUUUUGUGGGGGAAUGCCUAAUACAUUGACUAUAUAUAAAAUGAAUAUAUACAUACACAUGUAUGCCUGUAUAUAUAUAUUCAUUCUCAAGUGUUGCUGAAUUAAAAUUCUGCUGGACUUUUUAACAUAGCAAAUCUGAUGUUUAUAAACUGGUAAUCAAAAAGGUUUUUUUCUUUUAGGUGAGUGGGAAAGUAUUACCCUUGUUUUAAAUAUCUAAGCAAUGCCUAUCAACCCUUUUUUUGUGUUCUGAUUACUGUAGUCAUAUUUAUGAAAAAAGGUUUGUGUUUUACUCUUGCUAGUGAGAAAAGUGGGACAAAAUAUACUUUUGAAAUAAAAUGCUAUAUGGCACCUAAUUUUUUUUUCUUUUAAAAUGCCUUAAGUUGCAGUCUCAUUUUGAUAAUCAUUUGCUUCCAGUGUUUAAAAAUUAAAAAAAG